rnacentral:rRNA from 1 species
UACGGAGGGUGCAAGCGUUAUCCGGAAUCACUGGGUUUAAAGGGUGCGUAGGCGGCUAAAUAAGUCAGAGGUGAAAUGCUACGGCUUAACUGUGGAAUUGCCUUUGAAACUAUAUAGCUAGAAUAGAGUUGAGGUUGGCGGAAUGUGACAUGUAGCGGUGAAAUGCAUAGAUAUGUCAUAGAACAUCGAUUGCGAAGGCAGCUAACUGGGCUUUUAUUGACGCUGAGGCACGAAAGCGUGGGGAUCAAACAGGAUUAGAUACCCUGGUAGUCCACGCCCUAAACGAUGCUAACUCGAUGUAUGGGAGAGAUUCUGUGCGUCCAAGGGAAACCGAUAAGUUAGCCACCUGGGGAGUACGACCGCAAGGUUGAA